UCCAGACUCCUACGGGAGGCAGCAGUGGGGGAUAUUGCACAAUGGGGGAAACCCUGAUGCAGCGACGCCGCGUGAGUGAAGAAGUAUUUCGGUAUGUAAAGCUCUAUCAGCAGGGAAGAAAAAAGACGGUACCUGACUAAGAAGCCCCGGCUAACUACGUGCCAGCAGCCGCGGUAAUACGUAGGGGGCAAGCGUUAUCCGGAUUUACUGGGUGUAAAGGGAGCGUAGACGGCAAUACAAGUCGGAAGUGAAAUACCCGGGCUCAACCUGGGAACUGCUUUGGAAACUGUAUGGCUGGAGUGCUGGAGAGGUAAGCGGAAUUCCUAGUGUAGCGGUGAAAUGCGUAGAUAUUAGGAGGAACACCAGUGGCGAAGGCGGCUUACUGGACAGUAACUGACGUUGAGGCUCGAAAGCGUGGGGAGCAAACAGGAUUAGAUACCCCUGUACU
rnacentral:rRNA from 1 species